AACGAACGCUGGCGGCAGGCCUAACACAUGCAAGUCGAACGCUGUAGCAAUACAGAGUGGCAGACGGGUGAGUAACACGCGGGAACAUACCCUUAGGUUCGGAAUAGCUCAGGGAAACUUGAGGUAAUACCGGAUAAGCCCUUACGGGGAAGAUUUAUCGCCAUUGGAUUGGCCCGCGUCUGAUUAGCUAGUUGGUGGGGUAAUGGCUCACCAAGGCGACGAUCAGUAGCUGGCUGAGAGGAUGACCAGCCACACUGGGACUGAGACACGGCCCAGACUCCUACGGGAGGCAGCAGUGGGGAAUAUUGGACAAUGGGCGAAGCCUUAUCCAGCCAUGCCGCGUGAGUGAAGAAGGCCUU
rnacentral:rRNA from 1 species